rnacentral:lncRNA from 10 species
GCUGCUUUGUAUCCAAAUGUAGUGCAGGUAACAAAACAUUUUUCCUAGAUCUUUCCAUUUUUUGUUUGAUUUGUAGCCAAGUGAUGUAAGUUAAGAUGUGCAUAUUAAUCAUCUUAAAGAGAUAUAUACGCAUGUGUGCACACACGCACACCCUUUUAAACUUAGUAUACAUUUUCGGCCGGGUGCGGUGGCUCACGCCUGUAAUCCCAGCACUUUGGGAGGCCGAGGCGGGCGGAUCACGAGGUCAGGAGAUCGAGACCAUCCUGGCUAACACGGUGAAACCCCAUCUCUACUAAAAAUACAAAAAAAAUUAGCCAGGCAUGGUGGCGGGCACCUGUAGUCCCAGCUACUCGGGAGGCUGAGGCAGGAGAAUGGCAUGAACCCGGGAGUCGGAGCUUGCAAUGAGCCGAGAUUGCGCCACUGCACUCCAGCCUGGGUGACAGAUGGAGACUCCAUCUCAAAAAAAAAAAACUUAGUAUACAUUUUCAAUCCUUCAGUUCCCAAAAUCUGUUUGGAUACAUUAUUCAAUAACACAUUUAUUGUAUAAAAUUUUUAAUCCUUCUGACAUAUGAUAUUCCAAAAAUUAAAAUAGACAUAAAUGUCAGUCGGCCAACCUAUAUAUAACUAACUUUCUAUGUUAGUUGGAAACUUGAUUCAACUACAGUUUAUCUUACACUCUCUACUCUGAACAAAAAGUAAAAUAGCCAGGCAUGGUGGCUCACGCCUGUAAUCCCAACACUUUGGGAAGCCGAGUUGGGCAGAUCACGAAGUCAGGAGUUUAAGACCCUCCUGGCUAACAUGGUGAAACCCUGUAUCUACUAAAAAUACAAAAAUUAGCUGGGUGUGGUGGUGCAUGCCUGUAAUCCCAGCUACUCAGGAGGCUGAGGCGGGAGAAUUGCUUGAACUCAGGAGGCGGAGGUUGCAGUAAGCCAAGACCAUGCCACUGUACCCCAGCCUGGGCCACAGACCGAGACUCUGUCUCAAAAACAAACAAACAAACAAACAAGUAAAUAAGGGACAGGCACGAUGGCUCACGCCUGUAAUCCAAGCACUUU